rnacentral:rRNA from 1 species
CCUACGGGAGGCAGCAGUGGGGAAUUUUGGACAAUGGGCGCAAGCCUGAUCCAGCAAUGCCGCGUGAGUGAAGAAGGCCUUCGGGUUGUAAAGCUCUUUUGUCAGGGAAGAAACGGUCUACUCUAAUACAGUGGGCUAAUGACGGUACCUGAAGAAUAAGCACCGGCUAACUACGUGCCAGCAGCCGCGGUAAUACGUAGGGUGCAAGCGUUAAUCGGAAUUACUGGGCGUAAAGCGUGCGCAGGCGGUUAUAUAAGUCAGAUGUGAAAUCCCCGGGCUCAACCUGGGAACUGCAUUUGAGACUGUAUGGCUAGAGUGUGUCAGAGGGGGGUAGAAUUCCACGUGUAGCAGUGAAAUGCGUAGAUAUGUGGAGGAAUACCGAUGGCGAAGGCAGCCCCCUGGGAUAACACUGACGCUCAUGCACGAAAGCGUGGGGAGCAAACAGGAUUAGAUACCCUGGUAGUCCACGCCCUAAACGAUGUCUACUAGUUGUCGGGACUUAAUUGUCUUGGUAACGCAGCUAACGCGUGAAGUAGACCGCCUGGGGAGUACGGUCGCAAGNUUAAAACGUCAAAUGAAUUGACGGUNAGAGAGAGACGACGGACGACGACGAGGGAGGAGG